rnacentral:misc_RNA from 1 species
AAUCUUCAACCUUCUCUGCUUCUUUUUGAUCGGGGAAAGGCUUGGACUUUGGAGGCUUUUGCUGGCAUCUUAUGAAGUCAGCUCCUCUUAAAUGCAUUAGCGGGGGUUUCCUUUUGUCAAUCCUCGACGUGAUAAAGUUUUUCUACGUCUGAGGUCUUGGCUUUAAGACCCGCUUCUAAUGGUCUCGUCGAGACGUUUGGUCGAGUUUUGCCCUUCAGUUUGGGGGGUGGGACUUUGGCCCACAAUGAACCAU